GUAGAAUUUACUGAUAUAUAUUCAGGAUCUGUCUACUAGCUCCCAUAUUUUGCUACUGUUUUCCGACUGAAGUAGAGUUGUUGGCGUGUUGACCGGGCUCAGUAGUUUGAUUAUUCAGAUCAGAAGUGAUCCUCCUCGAAGUUUCAGAUACAAUGCUAGGAAUUUAAUUACUUGUACAUAUUAAAUAGGCUUGUUAGGACGUUAGAACUAUAGUUAUAAGUUUGGUACGAUUCGUGAGAGUUAUCGUAAUAGGCAUCUUUGGCUAAGGGAAUUAAUGAUAAAGCUAUAACAUCUAGCUUUUCCUCAGACACCGGUCCCGGCUUUACCUAAGGUUAAGGUCAUGGGCAACGGCACUACAAACCAGCAGGUCUGAUAAACCAAUCCUUAUCUACUAUUACCAUUCCUUGCGGCGAAAGUAAAGGUCGUAUCACUAUUUAGAAAUAAUUAAUAUGUUUAAACCCUACUUUAAUUUAUUUGUGGCAUAUGUUGGA